rnacentral:misc_RNA from 1 species
GCAAACUUGGUCAUUUAGAGGAAGUAAAAGUCGUAACAAGGUUUCCGUAGGUGAACCUGCGGAAGGAUCAUUAACGAAUGACAAGUCGUUCAAUUGUGCUGGCAUCAACCGAUGCAUGUGCACGUUGAUCGGCAAACCAUCCACACACCUUGUGCACACCUAGACCACAGAGAGGUUCGUCGGGAUCCUGUCCUGGCUUGAGCAACUUUGCUGGUACUUUUUUCACACACUCUGUAUGUGAUUGGAAUGUCCUAGUGCUCUUAAGCACGAUAAACAAAGUAUAACUUUCAACAACGGAUCUCUUGGCUCUCGCAUCGAUGAAGAACGCAGC